rnacentral:rRNA from 1 species
AUUGAACGCUGGCGGCAGGCCUAACACAUGCAAGUCGAACGAGUGGCGGACGGGUGAGUAAUGUCUGGGAAACUGCCUGAUGGAGGGGGAUAACUACUGGAAACGGUAGCUAAUACCGCAUACCAUCGGAUGUGCCCAGAUGGGAUUAGCUAGUAGGGGGGGUAAAGUCUCACCUAGGCGAAGAUCCCUAGCUGGUCUGAGAGGAUGACCAGCCACACUUGAACUGAGACACGGGCCAGACUCCUACGGGAGGCAGCAGUGGGGAAGAGUGCACAAUGGGCGCAAGCCUGAUGCAGCCAUGCCGCGUGUAUGAAGAAGGCCUUCGGGUUGUAAAGUACUUGCAGCGGGGAGGCGUUACUCGAAGAAGAAGCACCGGCUAACGCCGGGCCAGCAGCCGCGGUAAUUC